CUCAGUGACAACCCAUAGUUCGACAUUAGUCUCAUAAGAAACAUAGCUGGAUCCUUCUUCACAGCUACAUCUAGCAAAUAAUAAAGGAAGCCUCCUGCCCUGGUAAACUUGGUGAGUAUCUCAUCACUGUCAGUUGUCAUCAGGCCAAGUAUCUGCAAACUACCAGAUGGGGAUAAGGAGAUGCUGAAUUAGAGGAACAAACAGGAAAAUUGACCUGACCAAGGUGCGUCAGCAAGAGUAAAGACUGAAACUC